CUACUGCUCCUCUUUACAAUCCUCCCUCAUCCAAUCCUAAUCCCAAUCCUCAGACAUUUAAUCCCACUUCUCAACCACCUGCUUUCCCUUCCUUUGAGUCUCAUGUUCCUUAUCAAUCUCCUUCUCAGUCCCAAUCGUAUUAUUCAACCUACGAUCAGCAUCAUACGGCUCCUAAUUAUGCCCCUACUCCUACUCCUCCACCUUCCUCAAUUCCGAUGAAUCAGACCUCUAAUUCUACCCCUAGUCCUAAUUCUCCCUACUCCCCCAUGUAUUCCGCUCCCUUUGGCUCUUUGGCUCCCCCCUCGUAUGAAAACCCGUAUGAAAGUUCUGUAAAAUUUGAUCAAGGAGGU
rnacentral:lncRNA from 1 species